UGUUUGUUUGUUUGUUUGUUUUUUUGUUUUGUUUUUUUUUUUUUUAUUGUUUGUUUUGAAGUAUGGCAAAUCCUUUCAAAGGAAAAAAAGGGAAGGAAGGUGAUGUUGCAAAAUUAAUGGAAAAA
rnacentral:ribozyme from 1 species